rnacentral:rRNA from 1 species
GAUGAACGCUGGCGGCGCGCCUAACACAUGCAAGUCGAACGGCACCCCUCUCCGGAGGGAAGCGAGUGGCGAACGGCUGAGUAACACGUGGAGAACCUGCCCCCUCCCCCGGGAUAGCCGCCCGAAAGGACGGGUAAUACCGGAUACCCCGGGGUGCCGCAUGGCACCCCGGCUAAAGCCCCGACGGGAGGGGAUGGCUCCGCGGCCCAUCAGGUAGACGGCGGGGUGACGGCCCACCGUGCCGACAACGGGUAGCCGGGUUGAGAGACCGACCGGCCAGAUUGGGACUGAGACACGGCCCAGACUCCUACGGGAGGCAGCAGUGGGGAAUCUUGCGCAAUGGGGGGAACCCUGACGCAGCGACGCCGCGUGCGGGACGGAGGCCUUCGGGUCGUAAACCGCUUUCAGCAGGGAAGAGUCAAGACUGUACCUGCAGAA